rnacentral:lncRNA from 1 species
CAGGACCUUGUGCUUGCCAGGCAGGCUCGAUGCCUCUAAGCUAAAUCCCCAGCCCUGAGAACAUCUUGUAAGGAAGUAUUACCCAGGGUGCUGUGGGCUCCUUUCUGAUUCUUUCCAGGUUCUUGUCCUGAAGGAAGAAUUGGUCAAGAAAUGCACAAAAAGAAGCAAAGUUUUACUUUUAUUAAAGAUAUUCAUCAAAAUGGCACAACACAAAUUCUCACAUCCAGAAGGCUGAAGCAUGGAAUGCCAACUACAGGGUGAGGAAACCUGUGGUGGUCAAUGCAGGAUCUGAGGAAACAGG